rnacentral:misc_RNA from 1 species
GAAAUGCGAUAAGUAAUGUGAAUUGCAGAAUUCCGUGAAUCAUCGAAUCUUUGAACGCACGUUGCGCCCUCUGGCAUUCCGGGGGGCAUGCCUGUCCGAGCGUCAUUACGCACCCUCAAGCCCGGCUUGUGUGAUGGGCCCCGGCGUCUCGUUCGCGAGACGGGCCCGAAAGGCAGCGGCGGCGUCGACCCGAUGAGCCCGAGCGUAUGGGGACUUCUGUCACACGUUCGCGGUGCGGACCGGCGCCUGCUUGACUUUUCUGAUUAUCCAGGUUGACCUCGGAUCAGGUAGGGAUACCCGCUGAACUUAAGC